rnacentral:rRNA from 1 species
AGUGAACGCUGGCGGUAGGCCUAACACAUGCAAGUCGAACGGCAGCACAGUAAGAGCUUGCUCGUACGGGUGGCGAGUGGCGGACGGGUGAGGAAUACAUCGGAAUCUACUUUUUCGUGGGGGAUAACGUAGGGAAACUUACGCUAAUACCGCAUACGACCUACGGGUGAAACCAGGGGAUCUUCGGACCUUGCGCGAUCGAAUGAGCCGAUGUCGGAUUAGCUAGUUGGCGGGGUAAAGGCCCACCAAGGCGACGAUCCGUAGCUGGUCUGAGAGGAUGAUCAGCCACACUGGAACUGAGACACGGUCCAGACUCCUACGGGAGGCAGCAGUGGGGAAUAUUGGACAAAGGGCGCAAGCCUGAUCCAGCCAUACCGCGUGGGUGAAGAAGGCCUUCGGGUUGUAAAGCCCUUUUGUUGGGAAAGAAAAGCAGCAGGUUAAUACCCCGCUGUUCUGACGGUACCCAAAGAAUAAGCACCGGCUAACUUCGUG